CUUUGAGGGGAAAAAAUUGGCAUGUAUUACGGUUUGGGCACUCUGGCUCAAAAAGGUUCGCCAUCACUGGUCUAGUGCAUGUUGGUCAGUACUAUUAGCUUAGGGGUAUGCACUGUGUGUGCUUAUAGUGAGUUAGUGGAGACCAGAGUAGCAUAGUGUCUGUGAGACAGAGUUAACAGCUUAACAGUUGUGUUGUAGGUUGUAUGUACAGUGUUAUGGCGAGUUAAUGAAGACAAAGAUAAUAAAAGCACAUUGCAUGAUAGACUAUGUAAACAGCAGUGAUUAG